rnacentral:rRNA from 1 species
ACGAACGCUGGCGGCGUGCUUAACACAUGCAAGUCGAACGGAAAGGCCCCUUUGGGGGUACUCGAGUGGCGAACGGGUGAGUAACACGUGAGUAACCUGCCCUUGACUUCGGGAUAACUUCAGGAAACUGGGGCUAAUACCGGAUAGGAAUCCUUGCUGCAUGGUGGGGGUUGGAAAGCUUCGGCGGUUUUGGAUGGACUCGCGGCUUAUCAGCUUGUUGGUGGGGUAGUGGCUUACCAAGGCUUUGACGGGUAGCCGGCCUGAGAGGGCGACCGGCCACAGCGGGAGGGAGAGGCGGCCGCGGCGGGUGGGGGAGGGAGGGGGGGGGACUAUGGCGCGCGGGGGGGAGGCGUGGGGCGGAGCGGGCGGGGGCGGGCUGCCGGCCCGGGGCGCGUGGCCCGCGGGCGGGAGGGGCGGAGUGGGGGGGGAAGCUAGAGGAAGAAGAGGCAACGGCUAAGGACGAGCCAGAAGCCGCGGUAACAGUGGUAAGAGCACACGUCACACC